rnacentral:rRNA from 1 species
GAUUACGGCCAUACCACACUGACAACGCCCGAUCUCGUCUGAUUCUCGGAAGCUAAGCAGAGUUGGGCUGGGUCAGUACUUGGAUGGGUGACCGCCUGGGAAUACCCGGUGCUGUAAGCA